rnacentral:tRNA from 1 species
CCCUCAGUAGCUCAGCUGGUAGAGCGGAGGACUGUAGCAAGCUUCCCUUGCUUAGGGCACAGAGUUAUCCUUAGGUCGCUUGUUCGAUUCCAGCUCGAGGGA